GCUAUGGUAGUGCAGUGGUUAGCAUUUCUGCCUCGCAAGUCAGAAGACCCGGGUUCGAGUCCCGGCCGCAACA